AUUUAUAUAGUUUAAUAAAAACUUUAUAUUUUCAUUAUAAAAAUAGAAAAUUUUCUUAUAAAUC
rnacentral:tRNA from 1 species